AAGCCGAGUGAAGCCAACCGGAGCAAGUUUUACAAAUUUUUUACAAAUUUUUCGAAUUGUUUUCAGUUCCAAGCUGUGUGAAAGACUCAACCCACGAUACCAACGUCUACUUCAGCAUGCGUUCAAAAGCUAGGUGAUUUUUGGGGUGUUUUUUUGCUGACAGAUUGGUGGUGUGGGCGGUCUGUUCUAUUUUCAGCCCAAGCAUGGUGGCACCACUUCCUGUGAGGACCCUUGACAUGGAAUGCUUGGCUUGGGUCAGUUCUUUGUAAGCAGCCAUACAGUGUACAUACACUUCAUAUUGGGAAUAUUGAUCAUAUUUUUGCGCGGCUGGAAUGGAUUAUCUGUAUUUACAUUAUUUCUGAUGGGAAAAUCCGUUAUUGUACUGUAAUGGAAUUUCAGCCUGUUUUGGAGAGCUCAUGUUUGUUCAUGCAUUCAAUUUCUCUCUCAUGUCACACUUCACACCGGUGAUUAACGGCUCAUAUGAAAGUAGACACUAAUGUGUAGGUUUUUUUUUCUAUUAGUAUUUAUGUUUUUACUUAGCCUACUAGAGGCUGUAUUAUUCCAACAAAUGUCAGUGUAAAAGGUGAUAUCAAACCCAUUUCUGCUCUCUGACAUUAAUAAAGUAAAUAAUUGAAAAUCUAAAGUCAUUAUCUUUGACCACCAACAUUCCUAACUUUCAGCAAUAAAUAAAUACAUUUGUUUCUAAAUUAAGCCAAUGUCCAAUCCAUUCCCAUGGUGCACUGGUAAAAAGGGUUAAACACACCUGUAUGUCUGCUGUCAGAGGCGUAUAGUGUAAAGUCUGCAUUAGACAGAAUGUUUAUUCUGCUGUUGAUUGUAGAUGGUGGAAUGUUAACAGCUUUAAAAUAAAGUCAAUUAUGAUGAUUCUUCACAGGAGGAGAAGGGAGAGGAAUCUGUUCAUCACAUGGUGAGUGUGGAGAAUAAAUAAAUCAUCAUAAAGAGUGUGUGCUGCUGUACAACACUGCUGGGUUUAAGCGACACGCUGUACGUAAGACAGAGCGAUCGUUGUGCUGAUGUUCCUGAGACGUAAAUCUGUACACGUCAUGCUGACGUGAGUGUGCGCACUGGUGUGUUUUCUGAGCAGGUGGAAUUAAAGUAAAACUUAAAAGAAAAAAGUGUGAACAGAUGGACUUUAUGAUUCAUUAGUCUGGCUCUCUCAUUCUUAGAGAAAGAUACCUUUUGUGCGUGUUGUAGAGGAAGCGCUGAGGGAGGAAGCUAAAGAGAAGCGGCGAGGGACUUCAGCCUCCUUAGGCGUCGGCUCUGGAGCAGAAAGCAGAACUCAGCUGUAAGACCGGGUGAUGUUCUGUCACUAGCAACACACAACUUUAUUCAUUCUCCCGCAGUUUUAUUUACUGAAACACUCCGGCGGCUAAACACUUGAUUCGGCGUCUGACAAAUCUGUGAUGGAUGAAGCAGGGAGAAGGAACAGUGAGAUGAUAAUGACAGACCGUGGACACUCCGGCGGUCCAGCGCUUCACAGGCCCUGCGUGAAAAAUCGAUGGCUGAUAUGCUAACAUGAUGAAAUUUAUUGACAGCCUCAAGUUUUCGAGCAGGAGCCAUCUCAGGAAGCCGGUAUGUGUAAUAUCGACACGUCUCCUGAAAUGUCACCAUGACUAAUUCGUGUACUGAUGACCUUAAUCACAGACACGGAAGUUCCAGGAUGAGCCACACAAUCACGCUACCUAGUGGAAGCUGCACGUAAACUGUGUAAUACAUCAUUUAGUGCAGUGUAAAAAUUAAAAAAAUUAUAUAUCUAAAUAUUUCACCGUAUUUACUCAUCUCCUAAGAUUGUUUUAUCUCUAAUGACACCAUCAUAUACAGUGUAGGAGCGCGUGUCCAGACCAGCCUCCUGAGCAGUAAUGAUUGAAGCGGCGUCUUGAAUCAAAUACAUCUGCCUUAAAUGGAAAAAAAUGACCAAGCGUGUGACAAGAUGAAUGACGGGAAUGACGAUGAGGAUGAUUUAUCAUGAUGUGGACAAAGGGAGACAGUUUGAGGCUGGACUGUACUCUGAAGGACAUGUGAGAUACAAGACAGGAAAAUGGCAAAGACUUUGGAGCAUUACCUGCUGGAAGGGACCUGCGAUUGGAGAGGCCAUGUAAGGUGAAGCGCUUUCUAGCCAGAGCUGAGGAUGGGUCUGAGCUAAUGUUGGACAUUGCACCAGCUAAAAGGAGGCAAGCGGAGAAGCACAGGGGUAAGUGAGGGGUUAGUGAAGAAGUGGCAGAGAUAAAGAGGCAGGGACAGGGCCUAAGCAUGCACAGUAAGAAGAGGUCUUAAAUGUCACCACUAAACAGGUCAGUAUAAUUUCAGAGAUUUCCCAUAUGUCUGAAAUAGACAAGCUUUUGCUCCUAUAGCAACAGGUUCAUGAAGAAAAUCAUCACCUAUGUUCACUGUGUUCCAGCUGACAUGAGCCCUGCUCAUAGCAGCUUAGUGGUUAAGAUGUUGGACUACUGAGCAGAAGGUUGUGAGUUCAAAUCCCAGGUCCAUUGAGCCACCACUGCUGGGCCCUUGAGGAAGGCCCUUAACUGCUCAUUUGUACAGAUGAAAUAAAUGCAAACUGUUCUGGAUAAGGGAAUCUGCCAGAUGGCUAAAUAUGUGAAGAUCUCUGCUGUAAGACAUCAUUGUGACUCCUCACAGUCUCUUCAUUUUUAUCUGAACUAUUACUCUUGUAAUGUUCAGGUCAAGCAAUAUCCCAAAUAUCCUGUAUAAAUAUGUCAUCAUGUCUUACAGGCACCACUCAUAAAAAUAAGGAAAAACUGGUUAUAUAAAAUUUCAAAUUAUAACUAACACUAUCCAAAUUUCUACAGAAGAAACAAACUAAUUUUCCUUCUUUUAGUUGUCAACAAUUCUCACUUUUUAAGGAACAAGAUUUCUUAAAAAUCAUCUUUUACUAUAUUACUUUUAAUUGUUAUCAUUUAUAUUUGAAUUCAUUUUAAUUAUAAUUUGUAAAUCUGUUGUGGCCUUUAACCAGCAUCCUGUUUCUCUGGGGUAUACAUGUGAUGCUGCAAUAAAAUGCAAAAUCCUUUUAUU